CAAGGAGGACGCUUACCACGGUGUGGCCGAUGACUGGGGUGAAGUCGUAACAAGGUAGCCGUAGGGGAACCUGCGGCUGGAUCACCUCCUUAACGAA
rnacentral:rRNA from 1 species